rnacentral:misc_RNA from 1 species
CCAAUAGCGUAUAUUAAAGUUGUUGCAGUUAAAAAGCUCGUAGUUGAAUUUUGGAUUCUACCAAUCGGUCCAUCUUUUGAUGAGUACUGGUUGUGUGGGGUCUAUCCGCCUGGUGAUACGUAAUGUCCUUUAUUGGAUGUUGCGGGUAGUCAGGACCUUUACCUUGAAAAAAUUAGAGUGUUUAAAGCAGGCUUAUGCCGGAAUACAUUAGCAUGGAAUAAUAGAAUAGGACGAAGUUGUUUUAUUUUGUUGGUUUCUAGGACAACCGUAAUGAUUAAUAGGGAUAGUUGGGGGCAUUAGUAUUCAAUUGUCAGAGGUGAAAUUCUUGGAGUUAUUGAAGACUAACUAUUGCGAAAGCAUUUGCCAAGGAUGUUUUCAUUAAUCAAGAACGAAAGUUAGGGGAUCGAAGACGAUCAGAUACCGUCGUAGUCUUAACCAUAAACUAUGCCGACUAGGGAUCGGGCGAUGUUGUUUCAAUGACUCGCUCGGCACCUUAUG